rnacentral:tRNA from 1 species
GUAGACAUAGUUUAACCAAAACAUUAGGUUGUGGUCCUAAAGAUGGAAGUUAAAACCUUCUUGCCCACC